GCGGUAUCCAAUUGUUGUUAGUAAUUACUGUCUUGUCUCAUCGCUACAACUCCCGUACCGGCUCGGGAGAGACGAAGGUUAACACUCCAACCCGGAAGCCAGCCGCACCAAUUUCUCGGAGGAAACACCGUGCACCUGGCUACCUUGGUUAGCGCGCAUUGCGCCCGGCGAUGAGACAAGGAUUUCCCUACCGGCCAAACCCUCCCUAACCCGGACGACGCUAGACCGAUUGUGCGUCGCCCCAUGGACCUCCCGGUCACGGCUGGCUGCGACAGAGCCUGGGCGCGAACCCAGGGUCUCUGGUGGCACAGCUGGCGCUGCGAUGCAGUGCGCCAUCCGGGAGGCUCCGGAAAACGAGUUUUAAUGACUCCGACCUAAGUGUAUGUAAACUUCUGACUUCAACUGUACAUACUCUCUCAGCCAUUUUUCCCACUGGAUCAACACAUGCACGAUGUUGCAACACACAGGAAUGGGAGAACAUUUAGGUAUCAUGCAUGACCCUGAAGGAGAGCCCUGUGACAACAUGUUAACUAGAGAGCUCUCUGAUCCAAAGGCUCCGAAACCGGAAGUAUGUCAACAUUCCAGUACCGGAAGAUGGAAACUCAAAGAAAUUGUUAAUUGCAAGGGAGGAUGGUCGACACUAGACGGCAAUCCUGUGUAUAUUAAGACAGCGCGGACCCCGGCGUGAGAUAUAGCUCGGGAAAAGAACCUCAAUCCAGGAAUGAGAAAUGUGUUGUACUCCAAAUAGCACCAUAACCCAACUGUUACACUGAGAAGAUUGAACCACUGCUAUUUGCCGAUAACGUUAUCAACGUGAACGAGUUGUCAUAUUAUGUUUUUAAUCCUCUGCCUGGUAGCUAGCUAGCCCCUUAGUCUUGGGUUGCUAGCUAAAAUGUUAAUAUACCUGUGGUCCAUACCUACUGUACUUAGCUAUCCAAGGAUGAUACAUAUCAAACGUUACCACUUUAUUACCUACAAACGAGCUAAUAUAAAGUUAACGUUAGCUAGUUUGAAUAAUGAUUGACAAAAAGCUUUCAAAAUAGUAGGGGUUGCACUCUGAUCCCUUCAAUCAAGUCUAAAACUCCCCAAAGUAGUGGUUUGUCGAUUUUGGCAAACUUCCGACAGAUCAACAGGCCUUGCUGUUUUUGGAGCGAUCCUCAUGGCCCAGUUUGCAGACAUACAUGGCUUUGUGCAUUGUAUUGCUUGCCAGGAUACUCUUGAGUAGCUACUCUACUGUCUCAGACACCUGGCAGUACUCCUGUAGAAAGUGGUGAUGUUGUCGAUGAUGACUAAUUCACCUGCCUUGGAGAUGUGGCAGCAGCUAUUGUAGCCUACCUGGUUUGGGUACAUUUGUAAACUUAGCUUCUGGUUUGUUGAUCUUCAGGCUUUGAAUAGUACUGACUUGUCUGUUAAUUGUGUUGAAUAAGAACAAAACCAUUGCAAUUGAGACUUUCACCUCACAACCCGAGGGAAACUUUCACCUUGAUAUUAAAAUAAUGGAUUUGGGAUUGUGUUCAUUUGCUGUGUUUCAUUUGAUGAUGAACGUUUCAGUUCGAUAUGUCAUGCUGCUCAUGUGAUCGUGAAUACAGCCUGCUGUGUCCUGAAGCUUAUUGCAAAGUAGAUACAUUCCAUUGUCUUUUGGCUGUUCCGCAUCAGUGAAAAACAGGUUAGCAGGAAUGUGUUCUGUGUUUCUCAAUGUCAAUCAUCAGGGAAAAUGGCCAAUUUGGAUUAGGGCAAAGUUGAAACAUUUCAAACAGAAUGACCAUUGUUACCAAUUGAAAGAGAACACUUUGGAGAUUCAGACCAAAAGUGAGGGCAGAACAGUUCACCUGACACAAGACUGAAUCCAAACAUUACACGGUUGAUAUUAGUGCCUUAAUUUGUAUACAUGCAUAUUUACAGACUUUCCCACAUUUUGUUGUGUUACAGCCUGAAUUUAAAAUGUAUUAAAUUGAGAUUUGUCACUGGCCUACACACAAUGCCCCAACAUGUCAAAACUGUAUUUUACAUUUUUUAUUAAUAAAAAAAACAAACAACUGAAA
ensembl:lncRNA